rnacentral:rRNA from 1 species
AGAGUUUGAACCUGGCUCAGGAUGAAAGCGAGAGGGAUGCUUACCAUGCAGUCGACGGAAUCUUCGGAUUUAGUGGCGGACGGGUGAGUAACGCGUGAGAAUCUAGCUCUAGGUCGGGGACAACCACUGGAAACGGUGGCUAAUACCGGAUGUGCCGAAAGGUGAAAGAUUAAUUGCCUAGAGAUGAGCUCGCGUCUGAUUAGCUAGUUGGUGUGGUAAGAGCGCACCAAGGCGACGAUCAGUAGCUGGUCUGAGAGGAUGAUCAGCCACACUGGGACUGAGACACGGCCCAGACUCCUACGGGAGGCAGCAGUGGGGAAUUUUCCGCAAUGGGCGAAAGCCUGACGGAGCAAUACCGCGUGAGGGAGGAGGCUCUUGGGUUGUAACCUCUUUUCUCAGGGAAUAAGAAAGUGAAGGUACCUGAGGAAUAAGCAUCGGCUAACUCCGUGCCAGCAGCCGCGGUAAUACGGAGGAUGCAAGCGUUAUCCGGAAUGAUUGGGCGUAAAGCGUCCGCAGGUGGCACUGUAAGUCUGCUGUUAAAGAGCAAGGCUCAACCUUGUAAAGGCAGUGGAAACUACAGAGCUAGAGUACGUUGGGCGGGGAAUUCCUGGUGUAGCGGUGAAAUGCGUAGAGAUCAGGAAGAACACCGGUGGCGAAAGCGCUCUGCUAGGCCGUAACUGACACUGAGGACGAUUGAUAGGCGAACGAACGGGAUUAGAUACCCCAGUAGUCAAA